CAGAGACCAUUCGGCCCAAAUCAUUUUUUCUCUCUUGAAAUCCGUUCCAAUUCGCCUCACCACGGCGAGUUCGUGAGGAAGAAACCGACGCAUUCGAACUCCGGCGAACCUGCCGCUCUCCGGCCGCCAUGGACGGAAGCAUCUCAGGCGAUGCGCUGCUGCGGGGCCCGUGGAAUGACCUCCCGGGGGACCUGCUUGGCCUUGUGCUCGGCCACAUCCCGUGCGCCGCUGGCCGCGCCAGGGUGCGCUCCGUCUGCAGCUCGUGGCGCAACGCCGCGGCCAUCCAGCGCCCGCCCCGGCCACUCCCCAUGCUCGUGUUCUCCCGGUUCGGCUUCGUCAGCUUCUCCAGCUUCUCCUCCGUCAUGGUGAUCGCUGACGCUGAGUUCACACGCAUUCCGCUGCACGAGGACGAGAGCCUCCGCUGGGUGGGUUCGUUCGACGAGUGGCUCGUGGGGACUCGACCUGGCAGCGUAUGCAAGGAUGCCCACAGCCAUUGCUUCUUGGUGAACGCAUUCUCCCGGGAGACGAUCCAACUACCGAGGCCAUCUGCCUUCCGAUUAUCCCAUCACAUCUGCAAGACUCUCCCCAUCGUCAACACCACAGGUUCGGUCGACAUCAUUAUCCAAGAACAUGAGUACUCGGUGUGCUUCAGAAAGGUGGUUUUAUCUGGUUCACCUUCCUCUGGCUCAAUGUGCACCGUGGCUGCCAUAUCUCAGUGCAUCCUUGCUCUCUGGCACCCUGGGAUGACAUCAUGAUGCGUUUGCAGAAGCUUUUGGUUCGAUGGUUCAGCUGAUAUUGCCUUCUACCAGGGGAGGAUCUACAUGGCCAUGGUCUCGACAUACUUUCCACAUAUCCUGUCUAUCAUGUUCUUUCAGCUUGAAGAGGUCGAUGGCAGAGUUAUGGUUUCGUAUGUUGAGCGGUGUGUUACACAGACGCUUCCCCCAGUCGAGGGUUGUGCAGUGAAUGAGUUCCACAUUGUUGAAUGGCGUGGGAAACUAUUGCUGAUCGUUAUGUAUGCUGACCAUGUCUGGGUAGAGAAUCGGAGAAUUGGGAUAUAUGCUCUGGACUUCAGCACAAACCCUUACAGCUUGACUGAGAUAAACAACUUGGAUGGUGAUUGUCUCUUCAUUAGUUCGCGCAGCAGCAAGUCCUUUCCUGCUUGUCAGUAUGAUGGAGCCAAAGGUGAUUUUGUUUACUUCGUUAGCAGCUUUCGGCAACAGACUAUUGGUGUCCACCAUUCUUUUGAUAUACUUGUGUUCAAUGUGAGAGAUGCUACAACGGCAGUAUUCCCUGUUCUAGUACCUGGGGACAACUCUGACCCGUUCAUGGAUAACCUCUUGUGGUUAUUUCCUCCGAAAUGAAUGCUACUGAGAAAAUCUGAUCAGAUCAUAUGAAGAGUAUGACAGCGCUAAGGUGUCCUCUGUUGACCGCGUUCAUGUAAAUCAGCGAUGGUGCUCUUUUCCUUUUCAUGAUUGAAAUGUUCUGCUGUUGGUUGUUCUCAACUACGCUGAAUACAUGUCACAGAUCUACUUUGAUUGCAACAUACUUAUCAGUGCCCUGUUUGCACAAGUUUUGGUGUACUUAAUUUCACUUUCAAAGUUUUGAUACACAUAUUAUGACUCAGAAAUUGCUAGCAAACUAAGGGGUGACUUAAGUCUUUCUUUCAUGUAACCAUGGAAGUGAUCACUAUUGAUGACUAUGGUACUAGUUCAUCCAAGAAUGAAUCAUGCUGUUAUAUUUUUCCCUUUUGGGGAUUGGAUGCAACUAUUCCGAUUUCUUUCAUCCAAGAAUGAACUGGAUUGGCAUGUU